AGUGAACGCUGGCGGCGUGCCUAACACAUGCAAGUCGAACGGGCUAGUGCUUCGCACUAGUCUCUUUCUGGGGUUGCUACUCUAAGGCUACCUGCUAAAGUUAUUGCUUUAAAGCAGGGGUUUUAGGGGACCUUCCCCAAAAGGGGCCAGUGCGGAGCACUGGCCAGUGGCGAACGGGUGAGUAACACGUAAGUAAUCUACCCUCGAGUGGGGAAUAACAACCGGAAACGGUUGCUAAUACCGCAUAAUGCAGCGGCACCGCAAGGUGACAGUUGUUAAAGAUUUAUCGCUUGAGGAGGAGCUUGCGGCAGAUUAGCUAGUUGGUAGGGUAACGGCUUACCAAGGCUACGAUCUGUAACCGGUCUAAGAGGACGGUCGGUCACACUGACACUGAAUAACGGGUCAGACUCCUACGGGAGGCAGCAGUCGGGAAUUUUGGGCAAUGGGCGAAAGCCUGACCCAGCAACGCCGCGUGAAGGAUGAAGUAUUUCGGUAUGUAAACUUCGAAAGAAUAGGAAGAAUUAAU
rnacentral:rRNA from 1 species